AAGACUAUACUUUCAGGGAUCAUUUCUAUAGUUGGUGACUAGAGAAGUGUGUCUGAAAAUGAUUGGUCUCGCUAGCCAUGAGGAUGAGCCAUGGUGGUUUCCCCUGAGCAUGAGGCAGGUGGGUGGUGCUGUUGUGCAGCACUGCUUGCCAUUGAUGAGUGUUCCUGUCCCUUCAGGGGCUGGAGGGGGAGAACACGGCCUGAGUGGU
rfam:Alligator sinensis unplaced genomic scaffold scaffold118_1, whole genome shotgun sequence